rnacentral:rRNA from 1 species
AACGAACGCUGGCGGCAGGCCUAACACAUGCAAGUCGAGCGCGCCUUUCGGGGUGAGCGGCGGACGGGUUAGUAACGCGUGGGAAUAUACCCUUUGGUACGGAAUAGCCUCUGGAAACGGAGAGUAAUACCGUAUGAGCCCUUCGGGGGAAAGAUUUAUCGCCAAAAGGAUUAGCCCGCGUUAGAUUAGGUAGUUGGUGGGGUAAUGGCCUACCAAGCCUACGAUCUAUAGCUGGUUUUAGAGGAUGAUCAGCAACACUGGGACUGAGACACGGCCCAGACUCCUACGGGAGGCAGCAGUGAGGAAUAUUGGACAAUGGGGCAACCCUGAUCCAGCCAUGCCGCGUGAGUGAAGAAGGCCCUAGGGUUGUAAAGCUCUUUCAGAUGUGAAGAUGAUGACCGUAGCAUCAAAAGAGCCCCCG